rnacentral:lncRNA from 1 species
AAAUAAUGAGGCUCUGGUAUAGAAAUUGCACCUGCUCUGGAUAAACAUUAUCUAUCAGAUCAUGGUAUGUAAUUGGAGACUUGUGUUUUGCAGAGUAGUUCUUAAUUGAGAAACACAAAACAUAAAAGCUUACAUUGAUGAACAGUUUCAUUACACCAUAGAUUUAUCAAAAGGGUAAUGUAACCUCUACCUUAUUUAAUUAAUUAAUUCAUUUAACAAAUCCUUAUAUAAUGCUUACGUAAUCAUACAAAAGCUUAUACAUAAUAUAAUCUUUAUAUAAAACAUAUUAUUAUAUAAUGCAUACUUCAGGCCCUACUACAUAUUAUUUAUGUUUAGAAACCUCCUUUCUUCCUUAUAAUAACCCUAUGAGGUAGACAUUAUCUUUUUCUCUCACUUUACCAGUGAGGAAACUAAGAUAUAGAGUGGUUAAGUGACUUAUUUAAUAUCACAGUUUAUUAACUCUAGCGUCUCAGUGGCUAAAAUAUUUCUGUAUUUUCUUUAUAGGAGUGAAAAUCCCACUUGCUAAAAUUUUCUCACAUCAUUUGCCAAAUAUUAAUUUAAAAAGUCAUAUUCAACUUAAAAAAAAAAAAAGAACUUAAUACAUGCCUUAUGCUCUGCUAGGGUUUUUUUCCCCUAACUUAAUUUUUCUAGUAACUGUGAGAUAUGUGCUAUUAUUACCAGUUCGCAGGAAAAGCUGCAAAAACCAGAAUGAGUAAAGAAACUUGAUAUAAGUUAGAAAUCAUUGGCAGUGUUAAUUAUCAGUAUAUUAUUAGUUACUGAUGUAAGCGUGUGCGAGGAGAAAGGCUUCUUGUUACUCAUAUUAACAUUAUUGCUUCUAUGUUUCAAUAGAUUAGUUUUUGGAAUUAUAUUGGUGAAUUUGAGAAGGAAGAUUUCUAUGGCAAAUUGUUUAUGCACCAAUAAAUUCUCUAAUAGACAUUUUCACCAGUCUGCUAAAGUUUCAUCCAAUAAGAAUUGUAUAAAGAAUGAACUUAUUUUCUCUUUCCUCUCAAGACAGUAAUUAUAUUUAAAAAAACCUAGAAUUCAUACCAUGUGCUUUUCUUUAUACCUUGGACCCUGGAAAAGUAUAAAAUUUUAACUGAGAUGAGACAAGCAAUCUACACAUUAAGCUCUUUGCAGAAUUAAAUUUAUGUAUCUGUAUUCUUAAAUUAUGUGAUAAAUAAAUUAAGCUUUGCAUAUUGAGACA